UCGGUUGAUCCUGCCGGAGGCCACUGCUAUCGGGGUCCGAUUAAGCCAUGCGAGUCGAGAGGGGUAAAGCCCUCGGCGAACGGCUCAGUAACACGUGGACAACCUACCCUCAGAUCUGGGAUAACUCCGGGAAACUGGAGAUAAUACCGGAUAAGCCAUGAACGCUGGAAUGCCUCAUGAUCCAAAGCUUUUGCGUCUGAGGAUGGGUCUGCGGCCGAUUAGGUAGUUGCUGGGGUAACGUCCCAACAAGCCGAUAAUCGGUACGGGUUGUGAGAGCAAGAGCCCGGAGAUGGAUUCUGAGACACGAAUCCAGGCCCUACGGGGCGCAGCAGGCGCGAAAACUUUACACUGCGCGAAAGCGCGAUAAGGGGACCUCGAGUGCGUGCGCAUUGCGUACGCUUUUCAUAUGCCUAAAAAGCAGGUGGAAUAAGGGCCGGGCAAGACCGGUGCCAGCCGCCGCGGUAACACCGGCGGCUCAAGUGGUGGCCGCUUUUAUUGGGCUUAAAGGGUCCGUAGCCGGGCCAGUUAGUCCUCUGGGAAAUCUUACGGCUUAACCGUAAGGCUGCCAAAGGAUACUGUUGGCCUUGGGACCGGGAGAGGCAAGAGGUACCUCAGGGGUAGGAGUGAAAUCCUGUAAUCCUUGAGGGACCGCCAGUGGCGAAGGCGUCUUGCUAGAACGGGUCCGACGGUGAGGGACGAAAGCUAGGGGCACGAACCGGAUUAGAUACCCGGGUAGUCCUAGCCGUAAACGAUGCNAGCUAGGUGUCACGUGGNUUGCNAAUCCAUGUGGUGNCGUANGGAAACCGUGNAGCUCGCCGCCNGNNANUACGGCCGCAAGGNUGAAACUUNAA
rnacentral:rRNA from 1 species